rnacentral:rRNA from 1 species
UACGUAGGUGGCAAGCGUUGUCCGGAUUUAUUGGGUUUAAAGGGUGCGUAGGAGGGCAGGUAAGUCAGUGGUGAAAUCCCCGAGCUUAACUUGGGAACUGCCAUUGAUACUAUCAGUCUUGAAUACUGUGGAGGUCAGCGGAAUAUGUCAUGUAGCGGUGAAAUGCUUAGAUAUGACAUAGAACACCAAUUGCGAAGGCAGCUGGCUACACAAAUAUUGACACUGAGGCACGAAAGCGUGGGGAUCAAACAGG